GAUGAACGCUGGCGGCGUGCCUAACACAUGCAAGUCGAACGGAGAUUACGGACGGAAGUUUUCGGAUGGAAGUUUGUAAUUCUUAGUGGCGGACGGGUGAGUAACGCGUGGGCAACCUGCCCUAUACAGGGGGAUAGCAGCUGGAAACGGCUGGUAAGACCGCAUAAGUCGGUUAAAUCGCAUGAUUUGAUCGGGAAAUGAGCAAUCAGGUAUAGGAUGGGCCCGCGUCCGAUUAGCCAGUUGGCAGGGUAAAAGCCUACCAAAGCGACGAUCGGUAGCCGGACUGAGAGGUCGGACGGCCACAUUGGGACUGAGACACGGCCCAAACUCCUACGGGAGGCAGCAGUGGGGGAUAUUGCACAAUGGAGGAAACUCUGAUGCAGCGACGCCGCGUGAGUGAAGAAGUAUUUCGGUAUGUAAAGCUCUAUCAGCAGGGAAGA
rnacentral:rRNA from 1 species